rnacentral:rRNA from 1 species
UUCCUACGGGAGGCAGCAGUGGGGAAUAUUGCACAAUGGGCGCAAGCCUGAUGCAGCAACGCCGCGUGAGGGACGACGGCCUUCGGGUUGUAAACCUCUUUUAGCAGGGAAGAAGCGAAAGUGACGGUACCUGCAGAAAAAGCACCGGCUAACUACGUGCCAGCAGCCGCGGUAAUACGUAGGGUGCAAGCGUUAUCCGGAAUUAUUGGGCGUAAAGAGCUCGUAGGCGGUUUGUCGCGUCUGCUGUGAAAACUGGGGGCUCAACCCCCAGCCUGCAGUGGGUACGGGCAGACUAGAGUGCGGUAGGGGAGAUUGGAAUUCCUGGUGUAGCGGUGGAAUGCGCAGAUAUCAGGAGGAACACCGAUGGCGAAGGCAGAUCUCUGGGCCGUAACUGACGCUGAGGAGCGAAAGGGUGGGGAGCAAACAGGCUUAGAUACCCUGGUAGUCCACCCCGUAAACGUUGGGAACUAGUUGUGGGGUCCAUUCCACGGAUUCCGUGACGCAGCUAACGCAUUAAGUUCCCCGCCUGGGGAGUACGGCCGCAAGGCUAAAACUCAAAGGAAUUGACGGAA